UACGGGGGGGGCAAGCGUUGUUCGGAAUUACUGGGCGUAAAGGGCUCGUAGGCGGCCAACUAAGUCAGACGUGAAAUCCCUAGGCUCAACCUAGGAACUGCGUCUGAUACUGGAUGGCUUGAAUCCGGGAGAGGGAUGCAGAAUUCCAGGUGUAGCGGUGAAAUGCGUAGAUAUCUGGAGGAACACCGGUGGCGAAGGCGGCAUCCUGGACCGGCAUUGACGCUGAGGCGCGAAAGCCAGGGGAGCAAAGCGGG
rnacentral:rRNA from 1 species